GACGAACGCUGGCGGCGUGCCUAAUACAUGCAAGUAGAACGCUGAAGGAGGAGCUUGCUUCUCUGGAUGAGUUGCGAACGGGUGAGUAACGCGUAGGUAACCUGCCUGGUAGCGGGGGAUAACUAUUGGAAACGAUAGCUAAUACCGCAUAAGAGUAGAUGUCGCAUGACAUUUGCUUAAAAGGUGCAAUUGCAUCACUACCAGAUGGACCUGCGUUGUAUUAGCUAGUUGGUGAGGUAACGGCUCACCAAGGCAACGAUACAUAGCCGACCUGAGAGGGUGAUCGGCCACACUGGGACUGAGACACGGCCCAGACUCCUACGGGAGGCAGCAGUAGGGAAUCUUCGGCAAUGGACGGAAGUCUGACCGAGCAACGCCGCGUGAGUGAGGAAGGUUUUCGGAUCGUAAAGCUCUGUUGUAAGAGAAGAACGAGUGUGAGAGUGGAAAGUUCACACUGUGACGGUAUCUUACCAGAAAGGGACGGCUAACUACGUG
rnacentral:rRNA from 1 species